UACAGAGGUCUCAAGCGUUGUUCGGAUUCAUUGGGCGUAAAGGGUGCGUAGGUGGCGGGGUAAGUCAGGUGUGAAAUCUCGAGGCUCAACCUCGAAACUGCACUUGAUACUGCCUUGCUCGAGUACUGGAGAGGAGAUUGGAAUUUACGGUGUAGCAGUGAAAUGCGUAGAUAUCGUAAGGAAGACCAGUGGCGAAGGCGACCACCUGGACUGAUACUGACACUGAGGUGCGAAAGCGUGGGGAGCAAACAGG
rnacentral:rRNA from 1 species